AGAUAAUAGAUACCCUGGUAGUCCUGGCCCUCAACGUUGCUCGCUCGUUUUACGGAGUAUCGACCCUCUGUGAGACUAAAGCUAACGCGGUAAGCGAGCCGCCUGGGUAGUACGAUCGCAAGAUUAAAACUCAAAGGAAUAGACGGGGACUCGCACAAGCAGUGGAUUAUGCGGCUUAAUUCGUCGGUAAACGAAGAACCUUACCAAGGUUAGAAACCCAACUGCAUCCGACCUGAAAGGGACGGAGCCUUCGAGGGUGUUGGGCAGGUGAUGCAUGGUCGUCGUCAGUUCGUGGUUUGAACUGUUCCCUUCAGUGGGGUAACGAACGCAACCCCCGUUGCCUGUUGCCUAUAUGGCCAGGCGAGACUGCUCCCUCACGGGAGAGGAAGGUGGGGUAUGACGCCAGAUCAGCAUGUCCCUCUGAUACCUUGGGCUGCAC
rnacentral:rRNA from 1 species